GGCCCGAUAGCUCAAUGGUAGAGCAGCUGCCUCUUAAGCAGCGGGUUGUAGGUUCGAGUCCUACUCGGGUCACCA
rnacentral:tRNA from 1 species